rnacentral:rRNA from 1 species
GCUUAGAGAGGGGUCAAUGUCCUAUCAGCUAGUUGGUAGGGUAAUAGCCUACCAAGGCUAAGACGGGUAGCCGGCCUGAGAGGGUGGUCGGCCACACUGGGACUGAGACACUGCCCAGACUCCUACGGGAGGCUGCAGUCGAGAAUCUUUCGCAAUGCCCGAAAGGGUGACGAAGCGACGCCGCGUGUGGGAAGAAGGCCUUCGGGUUGUAAACCACUGUCGGGAGUUAAGAAAUGUAAGGGUGUUAAUAGCAUCCUUACUUGACUAAGGCUCCGGAGGAAGCCACGGCUAACUCUGUGCCAGCAGCCGCGGUAAUACAGAGGCGGCAAGCGUUGUUCGGAAUUAUUGGGCGUAAAGAGCACGUAGGCGGCCUUGUAAGUCAGUUGUGAAAGCCUUCUGCUCAACGGAAGAACAGCAUCUGAUACUGCAAGGCUAGAGUACGGAAGGG